rnacentral:rRNA from 1 species
UACGUAGGGUGCGAGCGUUAAUCGGAAUUACUGGGCGUAAAGCGUGCGCAGGCGGUUCGUUAUGUCCGUUGUGAAAGCCCCGGGCUCAACCUGGGAAUGGCAAUGGAAACUGGCGGGCUAGAGUGUGGCAGAGGGGGGUGGAAUUCCGCGUGUAGCAGUGAAAUGCGUAGAGAUCGGCAGGAACACCCAGGGGGAAACCAGUCGACUGGGCAGCACCUGACGCUGAGGUGCGAGAGCGUGGGGAGCGAACCGG